rnacentral:rRNA from 1 species
GACGAACGCUGGCGGCGUGCUUAACACAUGCAAGUCGAACGGGAAGGCCCUGCUUCUGUGGGGUGAUCGUGUGGCGAAGGGGUGUGUCACACGUGAGUCACCUGCGCUUGACUUUGGGAUAACUUCAGGAAACUUGGUAUUAUCCCGGAUAGGCGUUCCUCUUGAAUGGUGGGUGUUGGAAGGUUUCGGCGGGUGGGGGUGGUCCCGCGGCUUAUCAGCGUGUUGGUGGGGGAGUGGCUUACCACGGCUUUGACUGGUCGCCGGGCUGAGAGGGUGAGCGGCGACACUGGGGCUGAGAUACGGCGCAGACUCCUACGGGAGGGAGCGGUGGGGAAGAUUGUACAAUGGGGGGAAGACUGAGGCAGCGACGCCGCGUGCGGGAUGACGGCCUUCUGGUUGUGAACAGCGUUUGCCGGAGAGGAAGCGUGAGUGACGGUAAUGGGAAAAGAAGCAACGGCUAACUACGUG